rnacentral:rRNA from 1 species
GAUGAACGCUGGCGGCGUGCCUAAUACAUGCAAGUCGAGCGAACAGACGAGGAGCUUGCGCCGCGGACGUGAGCGGCGGACGGGUGAGUAACACGUGGAUAACCUACCUAUAAGACGGGGAAAACUUCGGGAAAGCGGAGCUAAUACGGGAGAAGAUAUUGAACCGCAUGGGGCAAUAGAAAAAGACGGUGGUUGUGUCAGUUAUAGAGGGAUCCGGGCCGCAUUAGCUGGUUGGUGAGGUAACGGGUUACCAAGGCGACGAGGCGUAGCCGAACUCAGGGACUGAUAGCCCACCUUGGAACUGAGACACGGUCCAGACUCCUGCGGUAGGCCGCAGUCGGGAAUCUUCCGCAAUGGGGGAGAGCCUUACGGAGCAGCGCGGCGUGAGUGAUGACGGUCUUCGGAUCGUAAAGCUCUGUUAUUAGGGAAAAACAACUGUGUAAGUAACUAUGCACUUAUUGACGGUACCUAAUAAGAAAGCACCGGCUAACUACGUG